UACGAAGGGGGCUAGCGUUGCUCGGAAUCACUGGGCGUAAAGGGAGCGUAGGCGGGUGUUUAAGUUAGGUGUUUAAUCCUGGGGCCCAACCCCAAUCGUGCACCUAAAACUGGACAUCUUGAAUAGUGGAGAGGUCAGUGGAAUUGGGGGUGUAGCGGUGGAAUGCGUAGAGAUCCCCAAGAACACCAGUUGCGAAGGCGGCUGACUGGACACAUAUUGACGCUGAGGCUCGAAAGCAUGGGGAGCAAACAGG
rnacentral:rRNA from 1 species